AAUCAACGCUGGCGGCGUGCCUCAGACAUGCAAGUCGAACGCGAAAGUUUCCUUCGGGGGAUGAGUAGAGUGGCGCACGGGUGAGUAACACGUAGGUAAUCUACCUUUGGAUGGGGAAUAACAAUCGGAAACGGUUGCUAAUACCGCAUAAUGCAGCGGCACCUAAUGGUGACAGUUGUUAAAGCGGGGGAUCGAAAGACCUCGCGUCUGAAGAGGAGCCUGCGGCGGAUUAGCUAGUUGGUAAGGUAAUGGCUUACCAAGGCUACGAUCCGUAACCGGCCUGAGAGGGCGGUCGGGUCACACUGACACUGACAUACGGGUCAGACUCCUACGGGAGGCAGCAGUCGGGAAUUUUGGGCAAUGGGCGAAAAGCCUGACCCAGCAGCGCCGCGUGAAGGAUGAAAUCCCUCGGGAUGUAAACUUCGCAAGAACGGGAAAGAAUAAGCGAAAGUUAAUAUCUUUCGUGAUGACGGUACCGUUUGUAAG
rnacentral:rRNA from 1 species